rnacentral:rRNA from 1 species
GACGAACGCUGGCGGCGUGCUUAACACAUGCAAGUCGAACGGAAAGGCCCCUUCGGGGGUACUCGAGUGGCGAACAGGUGAGUAACACGUGAGUAACCUGCCCUUGACUUCGGGAUAACUUCAGGAAACUGGGGCUAAUACCGGAUAGGAAUCCUUGCUGCAUGGUGGGGGUUGGAAAGCUUCGGCGGUUUUGGAUGGACUCGCGGCUUAUCAGCUUGUUGGUGGGGUAGUGGCUUACCAAGGCUUUGACGGGUAGCCGGCCUGAGAGGGCGACCGGCCACAUUGGGACUGAGAUACGGCCCAGACUCCUACGGGAGGCAGCAGUGGGGAAUAUUGCAUAAUGGGCGGAAGCCUGAUGCAGCAACGCCGCGUGCGGGAUGACGGCCUUCGGGUUGUAAACCGCUUUCAGCAGGGGCGAAGCUUGUGGUGACGGUACCUGCAGAAGAAGCACCGGCUAACUACGUG